AUUGAACGCUGGCGGCAUGCCUAACACAUGCAAGUCGAGCGAGCGGCGGACGGGUUAGUAAUGUCUGUGAAACUGCCUGAUGGAGGGGGAUAACUACUGGAAACGGUAGCUAAUACCGCAUACCAUCAAAUUUUCCCAAAUGGGCUUAGCUAGUAGGGGGGGUAACGGCUCACUUAGGCGACGAUCCCUAGCUGGUCUGAGAGGAUGACCAGCAACACGGGAACUGAGACACGGUCCAGACUACUACGGGAGGCAGCAGUGGGGAAUAUUGCACAAUGGGCGCAAGCCUGAGGCAGCCAUGCCGCGUGUGUGAAGAAGGCCUGCGGGUUGUAAAGCACUUUCAGCGGGGAGGCGUUACCCGCAGAAGAAGCACCGGCUAACUCCGUGCCAGCAGCCGCGGUAAUUC
rnacentral:rRNA from 1 species